AACGAACGCUGGCGGCAUGCCUAACACAUGCAAGUCGAACGAGACCUUCGGGUCUAGUGGCGCACGGGUGCGUAACGCGUGGGAACCUGCCCUUAGGUUCGGAAUAACUCCCCGAAAUGGGUGCUAAUACCGGAUAAUGUCUUCGGACCAAAGAUUUAUCGCCUUUGGAUGGGCCCGCGUUGGAUUAGCUAGUUGGUAGGGUAAAAGCCUACCAAGGCGACGAUCCAUAGCUGGUCUGAGAGGCUGAUCAGCCACACUGGGACUGAGACACGGCCCAGACUCCUACGGGAGGCAGGCGUGGGGAAUAUUGGCCAACGGGCGAAAGCCAGAUCCAGCACUGCCGCGAGAGUGAUGAAGGCCUUAGGGAUGUAAAGCUCUUUUACCCGGGAUGAUAAUGACAGUACCGGGAGAAUAAGCUCCGGCUAACUCCGUG
rnacentral:rRNA from 1 species